rnacentral:misc_RNA from 1 species
UUUCCGUAGGUGAACCUGCGGAAGGACCAUUCAUAAUAAAGUGUUUUAUGGCACUUUUUAAAAAUCCAUAUCCACCUUGUGUGCAAUGUUAGAUCUCGUCAAUCUUGGCGAGAUUUUUAUACAUCAACUCAUUCUUUAACUAAUUUGUCUGAAAAAUAUUAUGAAUACUUAAUUCAAAAUACAACUUUCAACAACGGAUCUCUUGGCUCAC